CAGUUCGGAUCGCAGUCUGCAACUCGACUGCGUGAAGGUGGAGUCGCUAGUAAUCGCGGAUCAGCAACGCCGCGGUGAAUGCGUUCCCGGGCCUUGUACACACCCGCCCGUCAAGUCAUGAAAGUGGGCAGCACCCGAAGACGGUGGCCUAACCCUUGUGGGGGGAGCCGUCUAAGGUGAGGCUCGUGAUUGGGACUAAGUCGUAACAAGGUAAC
rnacentral:rRNA from 1 species